GUGUGAUUUUACUUACAUUUUAUUUCCUUUAGGCGUAGAUCACUUCUGAGUUUGAGCACUGUUCGGCUGGACAGAGAGGGGAUCACAUGCUUGGGUAAUCUAGAAUGUGUGCAGGAGAUACACAGUUUGUAUCUACAGGAGGUAACUUACCGACUGGUCAUAUUGUGAUUUGUUUUUCCUCUGUCAGGAAAUAGCUUUUACUUUCAGGAGAAAAUAUUCUACAGCUAUUCAAUAAAUUUCAUCAUAUCUCUACUCGUUGUUGUUGUUUAUUUUUAGAACCUAAUAAGGAAGAUUCAAAAUUUAGAUGUCCUUAAAAAUCUCCGGUAAGUAGCAGAUAUCCUGUAAGCAACAGUCUUGUAUCAGUCUACCUUAGUACUGUCUACACGAGUACAAUUAGUGUAUAAUUUCUGAGUCAAACUCUGUAUGUGGCCCAAAUGGCAGUCUAUUUCCAAAAUUUCUAUUUGUAAACAUUUUUCUAGCGAGAGGUGCAAAUGGUCAUACAGAAAACUUACCUGAAUACAUUUGCAUUUUAUUAUGUGGUAAAAUUAACACAAUUAUAUAUACACUCUAUGGCCAAAUGUAUGUGUACCACUCUAUUAAUUACUGAGUUCAUUGCUAAUAUGUAUAUAAUUUCCAUCACACAGCCAUGAAAUCUACCUGGAAAAAUACUGGCAGUGAAAUUGGUUAUCUGAAAGAGCACAGUGACAUUUAACAAUUCACUGUCAGUAUCAACUGUCUUAGGUCAAUUGUGAGUGCUAUCUAUUAUUGUGAAGUGGAAGCAUCUAGGAGCAACACCAGUCUACCAAAAUACAUAGUGCUUACUGCAAAGUUUUAGUGAGGACUGAUAAUGGUUUUCUUCAGGAUUUGGGAUAGGCUCCUAAAUUCCAGUGGCAGGUCAUCUUAAUGCUACAGGAAACAAAGACAUUUUAGACAAUUGGGUGUGUCCAAUAUGUAGCAGCAUUUUGGGGAAGGACUUUUCCUGUGCCAGCAUUAUUGUACUCCUGUGUGCAAGGCAAACCCUAUGAAGACAUGGUUUAACGAGCUUGGCAUGGAGGAAUCAGCUCAGCCCCCCUGAACACAGGAUGAACUAGAAUACAAGUUGCAUGUCAGACCUUGUAGUCUAACAUCAGUGCCAUACCUCAGCUGAAAUCUUUUGGAAAACUUCCCAGAUGAGAGGUUGCUAUUGUAGCGGAGAGCUGGUAUUACACAGCCUAUCUCCACUUUGGAUCCCAGGGAGGUUCAGGAACAAGCAAUUAUAAAUCCAUAGGGUAAAGUAUCCAGCAGGCAAAAUAACACAGCACUAUCCAACAGCAAUCCCAAUAACUGGACGACACCCAGUUUCAGGAGCAGAACUAAAGAUUUAUUCAGACAGUGGCCUUUUAAAGCAUGCUCCAAUGCAAGGGAGGGAUUUCCAUUCAUUAGUACAGUAGCCAAUCCUGCUCUGGUAACCUCCCACACAUCUCCUCCCCUCAGCCUGCAUCAUAAUCCCCUUAUCCAGCACACCAAUUCCCCCCGUUUCUGGAUGUACUCCUAAACUUAGGGGUACCACUUUAAAUUAUACAUCCCCUGGUAGCCCUGAUCUGGGUGAACAACAUAUCCAAAAAUCACCCAGAUCAGACCAGGGGUUCGGGAAAUUCAUGGAGGGAAUAAAAUGACCGACUGCACUGGAUAGAACAGCCGAAUGAGGUUCCAUGCGAAUGGGCCCUGCGGUCGGUCCUGGAGUCAGGGAAUAAACGGCACGAAAGCCUCUAGCUACAGAGACUAGGGAGGGUUCGCCUGAAUCCCCUCGUUCGGUUCUUUCUAUCUACCGAACGUUCGGUUCUUUCUAUCUUUCUAUCUACCGACACUCGACGGCAAAACACCGCUGUUCAGGAGUUUUAAAAUGGCCACCGCCACGUGUUCGUUUUUCGAAUGGCAGCCACCCCCGAGAACAAAGGACGGCUACUCAGCUUGUCAAUUACCCGUUCGCAACAAUGUUGCAACGGGUAAUUGAAGGCACACUUCACACAGGGGAGGUCUGACUGUUCGGUAGUUUCAUUCGAACAAACUAAGGGAAUGAAACUACCUAACAUUUAGACGAAUACAAUAUAUUUAACACAUAGAACUUAGUUACUUUACACGAAUGCAUUUAAAUACAUGUAAUUUCUCAGGACAGCCCAGUGCCAUCCGCUACAGCUAUUAUAGCUGGAAAAGGCUGACUGACUCCUUAUCAAUGCCUGUGAUUUUGUAAUGAAAUGUCUAAAAAAAAAGCUCAUAUAGUGUCUUUGUCAUGUGUCUGUACACUCUAUACUUUUGGCCACAUAGUGUAUAUUGUUAUAGCUGUCCUGUAAACACAUGCAUCUUUUCAAGUCUUCUCUCAUUACUUAAUAGCCAGAAUGUGGGGGCAAAUAGGAGAUCAUUACACAAUAAUAAGAGUCAAAAGAUUCAGCAAUUAAAAAUCAGAACAGUAAGUAUACAAACACCACUGAGUCCAAACUACAGCAAAUGAACUGUAUGGAACCUUUACACAGUCAGAAGCCACACAAGUGUACUGUGUGACUGGCAGAGAUGUAACUGGAAUCCACUGGGCCCUGGUGCAAAAAUUGCCCUGGGGUACCCUCCCAUGUGUCUCCCCCCCUCCCCGCCCUCGGUGUCUCAUUCCCAGCCCCCUCCCAUGUGCCUCAUUCCCUCUGCCCCACAGCCCCUCCAUGUGACCCAUUCCCUCUCCCCCCUCAGCCCCUCCAUGUGUCCCAUGGCUCCUUCUCCUCCAGCUCUUCAUGUGUCCCAUUCCCUCUCCCCUUAGCCUCUCCAUGUUUCUCAUACCCUCCUCCCUCCCAGCCCCUGUAUGUGUCCCAUUUGUCAUUCUCCCCUCCCUGUGUCCCAUACCCGGCCUCUCUCCCCUCCUCCAUGUGUCCUAUUCUGCCCUCUCUCCCCCUCCCUUCCAUGUAUCUAAUACCCUCUCUCCCUUCUUCCCUCCCAUCGAUGUGUCCCAUGUCCCAUACCCUCCCUCUCUCCCCUCCCCUCCAUGUGUCCCAUUGUUCCCUCUCUCCCCCUCCACUCCCUGUGUCCCAUACCCACAUCUCUCCCCCUCCCCUUCCUUUGUAAAAUACCCUUCAUCUCUUCCCCCAUCCCUCCUUGAGUCUCAUUUUUACCUCUCAACCCCCUCCCCUCUCUGUGUCUCAUACCCUCCCUCUCUCCCUCCAGGUGUCCCAUAUCCUCCAUCUCCCCCCUCCCCUUCCUGUGUUCCAUACCCUCCAUCUCUCUCCCCUUCCUGUGUCCCAUACCCUCUCUCUCUCCCCUCCAUGUAUCCCAUUGUUUCCUCUUUUUUUUAAUGUAUGUAUAGUGUGUGUGUGUGUGUGUAAGCCUUCAAGUAUCACAAUGGGAAAUUGAAAGCAGCCUCAGUAUUUUAAAGAACAAUAAUGUACAUAUUUUGUUUUAUAUUUUUUUAUUAUUAUUAUUAUUAUCAUUGUUUUGAUUUAAAUGGGUACAUUUAUAUAUUAAAGAUUUUUGAGCCUCUCGGGGAACAGGAUCGAGGAAGCUGCAAAUCUAAAGUCUCUGCAUAAUCUGAAGUUUUUGGAUUUAUCGCACAAUUUAAUUCAAUAUAUACAUACAGG